GGCCGUGGACCUGCGCUUCCUCCCCUCCGGCCUUUUCUGGACCCUCCGCCACAGAGGGGAAGUGGGAAACCGCCGCUGCUUUCCCGCCGCUUCGCCUCAGCCCGCGAGGGUCAGCCUGCAGGUCCCUUGGAACUCACGCCACACGUUACAUGGAUGAGGGUGUCCUGCUGCGGUUGUGUUAUUUGGUGACCAUUCCCUAGUUCGUUGCUCGAUGCUCAUGUCCUUGCUUAACUGGACGGUCUGACUCAGCCAGUGGUCUUCUGCGUGUGCUCCCUGGAGCCCAGUUAGAGGCUCUCAGAAGCUGCAAUACAGCCCUCAACUCCUCGAGCAGAGAAGCUCUGCUUCCUUCGUGCAUUGGCUUCUGCAUAGAAUUUAGUUUAGUAAAACGCUGUGGAGAUAAAGUUUGAAAACCACUGGAGUCAAUGACCACCCCCACACACCACUCACAACCACAUAAAAUUCUUGGGUUUUCUGAUUCAACAGUUUGCUCCCAAAGUUGGAACCCCUCCUUUAAAAAGACAGGAUUCAUGUGGGCCUUGGUCUCAUCUUUCCAGCCAGACUUUAAAUCCUGAGAAGGCUGCAUUUGGGCUCGUGGUUCUCGGCUUCCCAUGACAAGCUUCCCGUUUGGGCUCAUGGAAUCUCAGCUUUGGCUGGAUUUACAGAAGUUGUUCCACAAAGUUCUGGGCUGGAUGCCCUGACAGGACAGCAGAGAGGCGAGGUGAGCAUCUAAUCGACCUUGGGGAGUUCUCAGGGGUGUAGGGACCCCCGUCCAGGGGUCACUGGGGCCCCUGAGCUCCACUGUACUUGGCAUAGCUGAAAGGAGCUAUGGUAUCUUUGCUAAUCCCCAUAGCCUUGAGAGAAGUGCCAGCAUCACCCCAUUGCUCCAAUGAGAAACCAUGGCUCAGAGAAGGCCACUGCAAAUGUGACUUCCAGCCAACUAUUAAGGAAACCAAGGGACAUAGUGAGGAGGAAAGAAGAGGAGGAAGAGGCCUGAUGCACCAGCAAAUGUUUGGCCUGCUGGGAAGACUGGUGUGCGCAUAGAAACCAAACACUGAAGUCUAGGAUGCUACUAGGAGGAAAAAAAGGCCAGUGUGAACUUGAGCUGUAUGAGAGGUGGUGUUCAUGGGCCCAAAGAAACCCUUUUUCAAAGGCCUGUAGCAGUGAGUUGCCUGCUAGAGCAAUGAGCAAUGGUGGUGAUCCCUUUCCAGAAGGACAUGGAAAUCUGGAGAGGGGUCAGAGAAGGAAGUCAGGAGUUAGAAGCUAGUGCCUAUGAGAGAAAAACAAAACACAACAAAAAAAUGCGUAAAAGAAAUUGGGAUUAUAUCACCUAAAGAACAUAAAGCAUAGAAGGAACUUGAUAACUAUCUUCAAACAGAUGGAGGGUCUCUAGAGGACGCUGAAUAGAGUCACAGAAUUUCUGAAUUGAAAAGAACCAAAUACCCUCACUUUGCAGAUAAGAGAAUUUGGGUUUAAAAAAAAGACUUGCCCCAAGUCCCCAAGUCUUUUGGCCAACGGUGGCAGAAUUAGAGCUAAUAUCAAAGUCUGCUGGUUCCAAAUAAUGUUAUUUCCAGCAUAACAUGAGAAAACCAUCUUCAUCUUCACAAAGAGCAAAGAAAAAGUAGGAGUAAAAUUAAAGCAGAAACAAUUUCAAUCCAAACUAAGGAACAAUGCCUUCAAAGUCAGAAGGGUGAAAGACUGAAACGAGUUAGGCCUCCAGCCCCAAUAAUCUUCCUGGAGAAAAGGGGCAACCAGCUGUCCCAAUUGGCUUUGCCCAUGAUUCCUAUUUGAGAAAUGAACAUUUUAAACCAUUACUUGAUUUUCUAGUCCUCACAGGUGUCACUGUGUUUCUACAUACACUAAGAAUAUAUUUAACUAAAAUGCAUUAAAAUUCAAGCAUUUCACAGUACUCCAAACUAUUGACGGAAAGUAUGUCCACAGGGUACUGCAAAACUGAGUCAGAUUCAGCUCACUAGUUUCAAAAUGCAUCUGCCAGCUCUCAUGCCCUAUUUGUGGGUAACUGGUGUCACUUUUGGAGAGGGAAGUUUGGCAAUAACUAUGACGAUUUA